rnacentral:rRNA from 1 species
AGAGUUUGAUCCUGGCUCAGGAUGAACGCUGGCGGCGUGCCUAAUACAUGCAAGUCGAACGGUCUAGCGCAAGCUAGAUAGUGGCGAACGGGUGAGUAACGCGUUGGUGACCUGCCCCGAAGUGUGGGAUAACAGUCCGAAAGGAUUGCUAAUACCGCAUGUGGUUAUAGGGAUUAGAUGCCUUAUAACUAAAGGAGUAAUUCGCUUCGGGAGGGACCUGCGUCCCAUCAGCUAGUUGGUAGGGUAACGGCCUACCAAGGCAGUGACGGGUAGGGGACCUGAGAGGGUGGCCCCCCACAAUGGAACUGAAACACGGUCCAUACACCUACGGGUGGCAGCAGUAGGGAAUAUUGGUAAUCUGCGAAAGCGGGAACCAGCAACGCCGCGUGUGCGAUGAAGGCCUUCGGGUCGUAAAGCACUUUUCGAGGGGAUGAGGAAGGACAGUACCCUCGGAAUAAGUCUCGGCUAACUACGUGCCAGCAGCCGCGGUAAAACGUAGGAGGCGAGCGUUAUCCGGAUUUACUGGGCGUAAAGCGCGUGCAGGCGGUUCUGUAAGUUGGAUGUGAAAGCUCCUGGCUCAACUAGGAGAGGUCGUUCAAUACUGCAGGACUUGAGGAUGGUAGAGGGAGGUGGAAUUCCGGGUGUAGUGGUGAAAUGCGUAGAUAUCCGGAGGAACACCAGUGGCGAAAGCGGCCUCCUGGACCAUUUCUGACGCUCAGACGCGAAAGCUAGGGGAGUAAACGGGAUUAGAGACCCCGGUAAUCCUAGCUGUAAACUAUGUAGACUUGGCGUCGGUGGGUUUAAAUCCAUCGGUGCCGUAGCUAACGCGAUAAGUCUACCGCCUGGGGACUACGGCCGCAAGGUUAAAACUCAAAGGAAUUGACGG